GACGAACGCUGGCGGCGUGCUUAACACAUGCAAGUCGAACGGAAAGGCCCUGCUUGCGGGGUACUCGAGUGGCGAACGGGUGAGUAACACGUGGGUGACCUGCCCCUUACAUUGGGAUAAGCAUGGGAAACUGGGGCUAAUACCGGAUAGGAGCCAACUUUCGCGUGGUGGUUGGAAAGUUUUUUCGGGGGAGGGUGAGCUCGCGGCCUAUCAGCUUGUUGGUGGGGUGAUGGCCUACUAAGGGGGCGACGGGUGGCCGGCCGGUGAGGGUGUACGGCGACAUUGUGACAGUGAGACGGCGCAGAGACCCACGGGGGGGAGAAGAGUGGGAUAUUGCACAAUGUGGGCGAGACUGAUGCGGAGAGGCGGCGUGUGGGAUGAAGGCCUUCGGGGUGUAAACUCCUUUCGCUAGAGAGGAGGCGUUUUAGUGACGGUACCUAGAGAAGAAGCACCGGCUAACUACGUG
rnacentral:rRNA from 1 species